AUCUCUUUAUUACAUGUAAGUAAGUUCAACUUCCAAUUGAUUAGACCCUUUGGGAAGAGAUA
rnacentral:tRNA from 1 species